rnacentral:lncRNA from 1 species
CCUUGGCCAUUGUUAUUCAUCACUAUCGAGAAAGCGAGAGUGGCGAAGGCGGAGCUAUUGGUCAUCACAAUAUUACCGUUGGCGCCUGCACCUUCUCCAUCAACAAAAGUGGAACAUAUUAAACAUGAUGGUGGUUAUUUGAAAAGUUUAAAGAAAUGAUUGGAGUAAUGAGUUAUUAACGAGUUUGAUGAAGGCAACAGAUGUGGUGACAGUGGAUUUUAGGUCCAAUAGGUGGUGAUGGAGGCAGGCGGUGGUGGAGAGGCGGUGAGAUGGUUGUAUUGCUUGUUCUCAUUGAGUUCAAAAAAUCUUUUAAU